GCCUUUCUCUUAGGAAUUUUUAGCUCUUUGGCUGAACAAAAUUUCUGUGUGUUCACAGCUUCCAGAAAUAUUAUUUACAGUGUCUAUUAUAGCAGGUGAGGAUACAUUCUAUAUUUAUCAUUUAUCAAUGAGGACAAUAUGUUAAGCAAAAUCUUGUAACCUCUGAAAUUCCAUUCAAAAUUUUUAAGUUCUUCCAAAGUUUUUACUUAUAUAUUCAUUUGGCUCAUUUGUGUAUUUUUUCAUCCUGUAAAAUGAUGCCAGUUUUAUUACCACAGAGCCUGUGCUUCAUGAAGUACUUACGAUAACAUACAAUGAGAAGCAGCAAACCCUC